rnacentral:rRNA from 1 species
AUUGAACGCUGGCGGCAGGCCUAACACAUGCAAGUCGAGCGGACGAAGGGAGCUUGUUCCUGGCUUCAGCGGCGGACGGGCGAGUAAUGCCUAGGAAUCUGACUGGCAGUGGGGGAUAACGUCAGGAAACGGGCGCUAAUAUCGCACCCGUCAUGAGGGAGAACGUGGGGGAUCUUCGGAGCUCACGCUAUUUGAUGAGACUAGGUCGGAUUAGCUAGUUGGUGGGGUAAAGGCCUACCAAGGCGACGAUCCGUAACUGGUCUGAGAGGCUGAUCAGUCACACUGGAACUGAGACACGGUCCAGACUCCUACGGGAGGCAGCAGUAGGGAAUAUUAGACAAUGGGCGAAAGCCUGAUCCAGCCAUGCCGCGUGUGUGAAGAAGGUCUUCGGAUUGUAAAGCUCUGUAAGUUGGGAAGAAGAACAGUAAAUUUAUACCUGGCUGUUUUGACGUUACCAACAGAAUAAGCACCGGCUAACUUCGUG